ensembl:lncRNA
ACAGAUACAGAGCUUUUAAAACCCCUCUGGAGACUCUCUAAUAUCAGGAUAGGGAUUAUUGCUGUGGCCCUCCCCUUCACUCUCUCCACUUGUCUAUUCCUCUGCUAUCAUUUAAAUGUCUGUGGAAUAAUUGAAUGAAUUAUCAUACAAUUUUGACAAAUUCAUUGACUCGGCCACAGCCGCGAGUGAGCAAGAGCGUUUCCUUUCAUUUUAGCCGUGCAAGACAUGACAUUUGAAAUUCGUUUAUAUGCCGCCAAGACCUUUUGCUGUUUCGUCAGUGGUCCAAAGAACAAAACGAGAUUCAGAGGCUCAUAUUUGCAUCAUUUGUUUUGGACUCCUCCAAAUAGCUUGGUUCUUCUGGGAUGUGUGUGAUCUCUGGAGAAGACCUAGAUACAAGAAACAAAGAAUUCCUCUGCCUAAAGGAUCCAAGUCAAACCAAUCUGUUACAAGUAACAUUUCAUUAUCUCUUCAGAUACAAACCACAAGGUCCCGCAAAUAGAGGCCUAUUUUUCCGGCUCUGCUAAUAGAAUUGAAUUUCACAGAGUGUAACUUAAAUUAGAUAUUCCAUAGCAGCCCUGAAUGGCAGAAAUAAUCGGCAUGGGUGACUAAUUUGGCAGAGCGUGCACUAAGUACACAAAUCCCCUUUUUUCCAACCCUCGCCCGAGGUUUGCGAAGAGCAGCACACAACCCACAGACAAAGGCAACGCGCGGCUCAUAAAAAUUAACAUAGUAAAUGACCGGAGAAGAAGGCACAGUAAAUAAUCUGAUCUUAUCACCUCUGAGUAUGCGUGGCAUGGAUUGGAGGCGUCCGAUGAAAAUAUCCUUGUUUAUCUUGCAUACCCUUGGAUAAACUUCUUCACAGGAAGCCAUUUCUCUGCAGAGUCUCUGGGGCUUGAGACAAGGUUCUCUACUUCUAUAGCUGAAAUUGUUCUCUCUUUUUUUGAGGAGCAAGUUGAGCAAAAACUGACCACGACUAAAUCAUUUAGCCAUUGGGCUAGGUUGCGAGACUUGAUUUUCUCAGUACAUUUAACAUGCAAACUUUUUAAAGACUUCUGGCCUGACUGCUACACUGUAAAAAAAAUUAUAUUUGGAAGUUUUUGACUUAUGGGAGUACAGUAUAUUUUGCAAAAAAAUACAAUUUCAGUCUUCUGUGUUUAAUUUAUUCCGUUAAUUGCCAUUUCGUAAUUAGUUGUGACAUUUACUAGCAGAUUUAAACCAUUUUUUUUUUUCAGUGUGCUUGACAAUGUAUAAUAUCCUAAGUAUAAAUUUUACUUGAGCAGAUUUUACAGUCAUAGUUUUUGUCUUUUGAUGAAAAUAUUUUUUUUAAAUGUCUUUAUUUAACUUAAUUGAAAUGCACUUUUUUGCAGAUGCCAGCUGUAAGUUUGUGUUGUGUCUAUACAUGAUCUUGUGUGUAGGAUGCGUUCAGAUGAGUUAAUUAACCGGCUAGUGAAGCGCUUCAGAUAGUUCACCCCAAAAUGAAAAUUUACUGAAAAUUCAAAGUAGAUAUCUUCAAGAAUGUUGGUAACCAAACAGUUGACUGUAGCCAUUGAAUUCAAUAGAAUGGCUACCAGAGACCAAUCGUUUACCAACAUUCUUCAAACUUUUUUUGUGUUCAACGGAAGAAAAAAAAUACAGGUUUGCAACAACUUGAGGGUGAGUAAAUGUUAUAAUUUUCAUUUUUGGGUCAACUGCUCCUUUAACAGCAAGUUAUCCAGUACAGUCUCUCAGUUUUGGGUUUAAAACACAUGUAAAUGUAUAUUCUAGAUUGUCUAUUGUACAAACAUUAUGCGUGCAUUCCUGCCACUCUGGGACUGAUAUGUUUAUGCCAGAUCCAAUGCAACCGCUUUACAGUGCUAAAUAUGUACUAGAAACCACCUGAGGAUGAAUGUCACAGAUCUUUUUAUCUCAAGCCCUUCUCUUCUGUGUCCCGUUGCCCUCUGAGGAACUUCAAAAUAGAGAGGGCAGUAAUGGUUGUCCCCAUUGGGCAGGUCACAUUCAGUACAGUAUUCAUGUCAGCCAGGAAUAUAUGUCAUUUGUCAGUGUUACAGAGGAGCUUUGAAUCAGAGCUGUAGCCUCAUAGCUGUGAAGGCCAGCAAAUAAAUCAUUCAGCAUACAGACA